UACGUAGGGUGCAAGCGUUAAUCGGAAUUACUGGGCGUAAAGCGCGCGUAGGUGGCUUCGUAAGUCCGUUGUGAAAGUCAAAGGCUCAACCUUUGAAAGCCGAUGGAUACUGUGAAGCUAGAGUACGGAAGAGGCGAGUGGAAUUCCUGGUGUAGCGGUGGAAUGCGCAGAUAUCGGGAAGAACACCCGUGGCGAAGGCGGCUCUCUGGGACGGUACUGACGCUGAGACGCGAAAGCCAGGGGAGCAAACGGG
rnacentral:rRNA from 1 species